UACGUAGGGGGCAAGCGUUGUCCGGAAUCAUUGGGCGUAAAGCGCGUGUAGGCGGCUCGGUAAGUCCGCUCUGAAAGUCCAAGGCUCAACCUUGGGAUGCGGGUGGAUACUGCCGGGCUCGAGUCCGGAAGAGGCGAGUGGAAUUCCUGGUGUAGCGGUGAAAUGCGCAGAUAUCAGGAGGAACACCAAUGGCGAAGGCAGCUCGCUGGGACGUGACUGACGCUGAGGCGCGAAAGCUAGGGGAGCAAACAGG
rnacentral:rRNA from 1 species